UCUCAGUCUCCAUCUCUGGUUUCUGUCUCAGUCUCUCUCUCUCUCCCUUUCUCUCACGUACUGGGUGGGGGCUGAGCCUAAGGCGUGCUGUGCGUUAGGCAAGUGCUCUAACGCUGAACUCCACGCACAGCUAACUUCUUCCUCUUUUGAAGGUGGGGGUAGACAACUGCGGGGACCGCGGUGUUUCCGAACCGGAGCCAAGCGCGCGUGGCGUGGGUGGGGUGGGGGUGGGGCCAGGAGGUUUUGAACACCGAGAGCAGCUCCUGUUCAGGAAGGUUUCGUCCAGCUGCGGGGAAGGCUGCUCUGCCCAGCACUGUCUAGAAGAGCAGUCCUAGAGGGAACGAGCGCUCCAGGGCGGCCAUCUGCACCCCCAGCUUCCUCUGAAGAGGGUCUUAGACCGUCUAGCCCGCUGUUUCUCACAGAAGAAACACCUCCUCCACAGUAGAUGAGCCAACAUGCACACGCGAGUCCAUGCGCGUGCCCACGGCUCAUGCUCUGCCCCGAUCCUCGGUAUGCUGCCCACCAAAACCAACCAACAGAAGAACUAACCACAUUUUUAAAAAUGUUUCCACCAAAGGUUUAACCUUAGUCAUCGCAAAUGAAAAGUCACCAGGAAGUGACGAGGUUAAAAAAAUAAAACAACUGAAACUGCCUGGCAUCUGCCUAAUGCUGUGCGGUGCCGCGUUCCAGGAGUGUUCUGUGACCUUUCGUUUGGGCUGGUUCCGUGGUCCUCAGAGUUUAUCAUAUGUGAAGACUGGCACUGAACUUGGGGUGACAGCCUGUGCCCUAAAACUAUGUUUGUCCGCCCAUCCUCAACAAGCCAAUUUAGAGUCGAAUUAACAGUGGAAACCAGAAAAAGGACAUUCCCUCACGCCCAGUCCACAGAGCCGCCUUCCUGGUCCUGACUGAGAUCAAGGUUUAAAUUGAAAGCUGCGAUCUACACAGGGUUUCUGUCCGGACCUCUUCUACUGUAACGCCUAAGAUUAUGGAACCACCACCAAGAGUCCGUCCUCAAACUAUCUCCCAUGCAUCUCUGAUGUGGUCUGUCUCCAUAACCUCAAGAGACUGGAACCUUGGCUGUCCUGGAACUCACUGUGUAGACCAGUUUGGCCUCAAACUCACGGAGAUCAACCUGCCUUUGAGUGUUGGGAUUAAAGGUCUCAUGAUCUAAGUUGGUUUUGGCAUGUCCUACAGGUCCCAUGUCACAUUGGUGUUGAUUGACUAUGCUUGGCUAUUUACUGCUAAAUGUGUAUCAAUAAAGAAUGCUUUAAAUCUCAUCGAUAAUCUGAAACAAUAAUGAUUACACACACGCACAAGUACGUACUCAAUUCUGACAAAAUUUUACAUAUUUUAU